rnacentral:rRNA from 1 species
UAAAUAAGCCUAAGUAGCUUGCCUCACCUCUCCCUCGUCUUUCUAAGUGUUUACAAAACUAUGAGGUUUCAUAAAAUAAAACUAUUACUGUAAAUUUUAGCUGACCUGGAAAAUCUUACCUUUUGCAUCAUGUGUGAAUAAUAAGUCACCUGCGCGCGAAUCUUACGAACUGUUUAGAAUAAUUUAUGUAAAAUUUAAACUGUGGUAGCAUUUUAAUAAAUAUAAAAAUUGGAAUGAUAUGUUAACAUUAAAUAGAUGCUUAUUAAAUUUUAUUGGAAUAAUUCCAACUAUCAGAGAGAUAAGAGAUGAGAAGAGAUAAGUUUUUUCAUUACCAAUUAAAUAGUAACGUCUGCAAUUUUUAAUAUAAAUAUUAAUGUUAAUCUGAGUUUAUAAAAAUUCUUUAAAUUUUAGUAUUUAAUCUUUUAUAAAAAAAAUUUUUUAAGGGAACUUUCCAAUUUUUCCUUAAAAAUAUAUUUACAUGAGUAGUUAAGCUGUACACCCGCAUAGUAAGAUAGGUCCUUAUUUAGAUUAUACCGUUCCACAUUAUAGUAAAAGCACUCGUCUAAAUAUAUUUAGCCUGUUUAUCAAAAACACCGUAAAUUAUAUUUAUAAUACCUGCUCAGUGAAUACUUAAACAGCCGCGUUAGUGCUAAGGUAGCAUAAUAAUUAGUUUUUUAAUUGGAAAAUGGAAUGAAUGGUUUCACUAAAAUAUAGCAUUUACACUAGUAAGUGAAAUUUUAAUUUAAGUGAAAAUUCUUAAAAGACCCACUUAGACGAGAAGACCCUAUGAAUCUGGUAAACUAAGAAUGUGCCUACAAUAGUUAAUUGUUUAUUUUUUGGGGUAAAAAUUAAUAAAAAUAUUAAUAAAUACUUAUUUAACUUAAUCCUCUAGGAAACAUGAAUAAGAUCCUCUAGGGAUAACAGCAUUAUACUUAAAAGAGUUCUUAUCAGAAUAAGUGUUUGUGACCUCGAUGUUGAAUUAAAUACUCCCGUGUGUGUAGGAGCUCACUGGAGACGGUCUGUUCGACCUAUAAUAUUUACAUGAUUUGAGUUAAAAUCGACGCAAGUCAGAUUGGUUUCUAUCUAGUGUGUAAAUUAUUAUCGCUUAGUACGAAAGGAAUAGCUAUAAUUUUAAUUCA